UCCUGCAACUCUAGAUCAGCUGUGUUCUCUACAGCUAACACUGUAAAGUACCAGUCUCUUAACACAGUGUUAGGAAGAGUUGUAACUAUUUUUUCAGCCUCUCCUCUCUCAGACCCUACCUGCCUAAUGAUCUCACCAUGGAAAGCAAGGGGCACUCAGCCUGGCACUCAAGACUUUCAGGUGGCAUCACUCUGUCAAGUCUGACUCUGUCUUCUUAUCACAGGUAUUUAUGGAGCGGCCACUCUCACCUGCCUAUAAGCUAAGACUUCACUCUCAGAGGCUCUUUUUGUGUCUGGGAUUUAUUCUCCAUCUUGUGUGUCCACGAGCUCUCAGAUUCUGCUGACCUUUGCAGUCAUCUCCUCAGCCCUGCUUCACCCUAGAGAGCCCUCCUUGGUCGGCCUCUGCCUGAGCACUUCCAAUGAAGGAAGAAUUACUUCCUCACGAGUGUUCUUUAGAGUGUAUUUCAUCCUACUGAGCAGAGUCCUUCCCUCUGCGCCUGCCGCCGCUCUCCACUCCUUCACAGAGGGCAGCUCCCCUCCCUUUAACUCGGCAGGAUUAUCCCACACCAGCAAUGACGGAAACUCCAGCACCGGCUUCCACAACUUCCUCAGUUCAGAACUCCGUGCAGCGAAGGACUUGUCAGUGAGGAAGCCACAUACUCAAAUGCCUGCCGUGGAAAGUUCCCUGGUGCUCUUCCUUCGGAGCCUCUGGUUUCUUAUUCUCCUGGCUGAUGGAUUCAACACACUAAUUAGCCACUUGUUCUGGAGAUCACAAAACAGAUGAAAGCACAGUAUCUGGAGAAGCUUAAACAAAAACUCACCUGGAGCUUGGGAGGCGGAGUAAGCAUAAAAACGUCUAGGAGAGAAUCAUACCUCUCCCAGUUAUUCAUUAGACAGCUCUGGACAGGUUGUCUAACUUCAGCAAAUCUCUAUGUCAUUAUUGGUAAAACGAGGAUAUAUGAUACAGCAUUAGUCUCCACUUAUUUUAAUGAUGAUUAAUGACUCAGUGAGUUAUAGCCAUCAUUAUCGUUAUUUUAAUUAAUAAACAUUCUGUU